rnacentral:rRNA from 1 species
UUAGAGUUUGAUCCUGGCUCAGAUUGAACGCUGGCGGCAGGCUUAACACAUGCAAGUCGAACGAUGAUUGCCCAGCUUGCUGGGCAUGAUUAGUGGCGAACGGGUGAGUAAUGCUUAGGAAUCUGCCUAUUAGUGGGGGACAACAUUCCGAAAGGAAUGCUAAUACCGCAUACGUCCUACGGGAGAAAGCAGGGGAUCGCAAGACCUUGUGCUAAUAGAUGAGCCUAAGUCGGAUUAGCUGGUUGGUGGGGUAAAGGCCUACCAAGGCGACGAUCUGUAGCUGGUCUGAGAGGAUGAUCAGCCACACUGGGACUGAGACACGGCCCAGACUCCUACGGGAGGCAG